rnacentral:misc_RNA from 1 species
AAGUCGUAACAAGGUUUCCGUAGGUGAACCUGCGGAAGGAUCAUUACAGUAGUUUUGAAAAACUGUGGCUUCCUUUUAACUGGGAAGUCAUUAGUUUUCUCAACCACUUGUUGUGCAUUUAGAACUCGUCUUUGGUGGUUAAACUUGUGUUCAUUUAUUUGAACACAAGGCACCCGUCCAAAACAACCUUUAGUGUUGUGCUGGACCAACUCUGAGUUUCUUUUGUUGUCUCGACAAUAAUGGAAACGACAAGUGCUGUAGGUUUUCUUUUUGAAGCUUGCAAGCCACUUGGUAAAGGAGGGGCCACCGCUUUUAUUUAAACUAAAUGUUUGUAUUUUAUACUUUUUGUUGAAAUAACCUAAACAUUUUAACAAAAAACAACUUUUGACAACGGAUCUCUUGGCUCUC